rnacentral:rRNA from 1 species
CCUACGGGAGACAGCAGUAGGGAAUCUUCCACAAUGGGCGAAAGCCUGAUGGAGCAACGCCGCGUGGGCGAAGAAGGUCUUCGGAUCGUAAAACCCUGUUGUUAGAGAAGAAAGUGCGCGAGAGUAACUGUUCACGUUUCGACGGUACCUAACCAGAAAGCCAUGGCUAACUAGGUGCCAGCAGCCGCGGUAAUACGUAGGUGGCAAGCGUUAUCCGGAUUUAUUGGGCGUAAAGGGACAGAAGGCGGUUUGUUAAGUCUGUGGUUAAACCCUGGGGUUAAACCGGAGCGUGCAUUGGGAACUAGGAAACUAGAGUGAGAUAGAGGGAAGUGGAACUCCAUGUGAAGCGGUGAAAUGCGUAGAUAUAUGGAAGAACACCAGAGGCGAAGGCAGCUCACUGG